GACUAAGUUUGUGGUCAAAGGCUUGCACCCAUUUGCCACAGCAGAUGCCCCCGAUUUUCGAAUGACGAGAUCUGGGAAGAUGUGAAAGCUGAAAAGCUGCUGAGAAAUCCAGGAAAGAAAAUGUGAGAGGAGAGUACGCAAUACUGCGUAACUUAGGUAAACAGUAUUCCGUUUAAAACGAUACUCAGUUAGUGCUGAGGAGCCCAAAGUGUGCCAAGAAUAUAUCCUGCACACGAUUGCCAGCAGCAGUGAACCACUGAUACAAGGCAGGAUGGAUCUUUUCAUGUUGUUUAUGUCACAUUCUGACUACACCAUCUGAAUGUUGCAGCAGAAAUCAUUUUCGCCUCUGCAUCACGCUCAAACACUCCACACAGCAUGCUCUGCAGACUGUGACAAAGCACAGCUGUUGUUGAAUAUAAAAGGCCCCUGUGGUUCACUUUUUAUUGCCUGUAUAAUGACUAAUACUAUAAUAAUUAAGUAAUUAUUGACUAUGACUAAUUAUAAUAAAGUAAGUUUAAUCUGAUCAUCUCUGUAGACUCACAGGGCUAUAUUGAGUAUAUUGUGAUUGAAAACAUAUUUUUGUGCAACUGAGUUAAAAAGACUUGGAAUAAUGUAAAGCGUCAUGAAAUUCAUGUGUGACCAACUUAAUGAGAAAUCAUGUUGAAGUAAAAUGUAGAGAAGAAGAAAAUGUAA